UACGAGGGGGGCAAGCGUUGUUCGGAAUUAUUGGGCGUAAAGGGCGCGUAGGCGGUUUGACAAGUCUGAUGUGAAAUCUAUGGGCUCAACCCAUAGCCUGCAUUAGAAACUGUCGGGCUUGAGUAUGGGAGAGGUGAGUGGAAUUUCCGGUGUAGCGGUGAAAUGCGUAGAUAUCAGGAAGAACACCCGUGGCUAAGGCGGCUCUCUAGUACGGUACUGACGCUGAGACGCGAAAGCGUGGGGAGCGAACAGG
rnacentral:rRNA from 1 species